CUAAACCUAAAUUGAUCUCAAAUAAUAAACUCAGAGCAACAACGAAGGUGCCAUGGCUGAAUUAAUCACUUCUCCAACUAAUUUUCUCCACAAACCGACCUCUCCCUUCUAUUCCCUUCCUAUCUGUUUUAUGUUAAAUUGUGGUUGAUACAAGAUGUCAAUUUUCGUGAAAAGGGGCAGUCAAUUCAGAAUUUGAAUUCUUUAAUGAUCCUUUCUGCAGAUGUUCCUUUAUCAAAUUCUCUGCGGCAUUGCUUACUGUGACAUUUAUUGAUAUAAUAUAUUAAUAUCUUAUAGUUGGCUAAUUUGGUAUAAAAUGAUUGUGCACAUAAUGCAGAGACUGAGCAUCAACCUACCCAAUAUCCAACUUCGGAGGAGUUCAGUAUUGAGAAGAUAAAGUUCAAGGCUUUCAAUAUGGGUGGUCACCAGAUUGCUCACCGGGUCGGAAGGACUAUUAUGCUCAGUGCUGGUGAGAUACCUUGCCAAGUAUGUGGAUCCAGGGACAUAGGAGAUGUAAUGCUGAUUUGUGGUGAUGAAAGUGGCUCCCUUAGCUGUCAGUGUAGUGUAUUACUGUUUAACUCAAAGUAUGAUUUGCUUCUUUGGGCUGAGAAGAAAGGGCUAGACCACUGGAUGGAUGUUGAAGCCUUGAAAGAUAAACAAAAACAAAGAAAUUGGUAAAGUACUAUGCCUUUUUAGCUUCUGAUCAAGCUGUGCAGUUUGAUGGAGAACACCGGAAGAGAGAAGGCUGAUGAGAAAUCGAUUGGAGCAAGCAAAGAGAAAAUUCGAGAGUUUAAUCAAAUGUGCAUUUAGGGUUUCAAAAUGGGGAUUUGAGAUUGAUAUCCACCGAGAGAAGAAGCAGUGUGCAGAGGAGAGAGAGAAUUCAGGGUGCAUUCAACAGAGAAGGGGAAGAUGGCGAGUCUCUCUGAUCCGGAGCAUGAGGAUUUUGUGCGAGACUUUGACUUCAUCAUUUUUUGGGGAUCUGUGGAUUCCAGCGAGUUUGGUUGUGGUUGGAAUCGUUGAAGCACAUCCCAUGCUCCGAGGAGAAGGUUCAACAAAUUUCGUCAGAUGAAUACAAGAAGCCCUCUUAGGUUUUAGUUGUCAGUAGUGAGGGUGCUGAUUUCGUUGUUUUUUUUUACUUCCGAUAAGCAGACCUGAAGAUUGGGAUAAAGCCCCUGAUCCCAAGAAAUAUUUUGUUCAAUUCUUUGGCACCGAAGAAAUGUUUUUAGUGGAAAUAUAUGGUGGCAAAGAAAAAGUGCAAUCCACGGAACCACUUUGCCAUCGACUUGCAAUCCAAAGUGUAAUCUUUGUUAGCCGUCUUUGCGUUGCGGCGAAUGUUCUUCCAUCAGCAAGAGAAUGAAGAGACGAUUACAUCAGAUUCUUUUAUUAAUCGAUUUAUCAUGUAUUAGAUUUAGACCUAUCAGCCUAUUAACUAACCUUUCUAUUGUUUUGCCGGAAACAAUAAUGGGCUUCUCUUGCCCCAUACCACCACAGACCAAGGUUUGCCCAUAUUGGGUUGGUCUUCUUGAAUCCAGGAUGCUAAUGGUUCUGAUAUGAAUGCCAUUAUUAGUUUAAUCGAGGUCAGGUGAUUCUUUUUUGGGGUUUGACAAAGAUGGAUAUUGAAUUGUCUAAAGGUAGAGAGCUUCAAGUUGCUACCCACGUGAGUAUGGGGACGGGUAUAUGUAAAUUUUACAAACGCGGGUAUGAGGAUGGUACUAUAGUACCUACCCAUUGACAUCCCUUCUUAGUUGGAAUAAACACAAUAAUGUUAUACUAUAUGAUUUAUCUUACACAAUUCUGAUUUGUGAUACUAUCACAUUUAUUUUUAAAAGAUUAAUAUGUUGGUAAUUUCUUAUAUCAA